CAGUCGCCGCGGGAAUACGAAGGGUGCAAGCGUUAAUCGGAAUUACUGGGCGUAAAGCGUGCGUAGGCGGUUUGUUAAGUCUGCUGUGAAAUCCCCGGGCUCAACCUGGGAAUGGCAGUGGAUACUGGCAAGCUAGAGUGUGUCAGAGGAUGGUGGAAUUCCCGGUGUAGCGGUGAAAUGCGUAGAUAUCGGAAGGAACACCUGUGGCGAAAGCGGCUCACUGGACCAUAACUGACGCUGAUGCACGAAAGCUAGGGGAGCAAACAGGAUUAGAUACCCCUGUAGUCCCUGUCUCUUAUAA
rnacentral:rRNA from 1 species